rnacentral:tRNA from 1 species
GGGAGUGUAGCUGAGUGGUAGAGUACUUGCCUCACAUGUCUGAGGCUCUGGGUUCAAUGUCCAGUACUACCA